AGAAGGACGUAGAUGGGCCG
rnacentral:siRNA from 1 species